AAAACUUCACUGCAGAGGAUGAA
rnacentral:snRNA from 1 species